UCAGGACGAACGCUGGCGGCGUGCCUAACACAUGCAAGUCGAGCGAGGAGAUCCUUCGGGAUGAUCCUAGCGGCGGACGGGUGAGUAACACGUGGGCAACCUGCCUCAUAGAGAGGAAUAGCCUUCCGAAAGGGAGAUUAAUACCUCAUAACAUUGCAGUUUCGCAUGGAACAGCAAUUAAAGGAGUAAUCCGCUAUGAGAUGGGCCCGCGGCGCAUUAGCUAGUUGGUGAGGUAACGGCUCACCAAGGCGACGAUGCGUGGCCGACCUGAGAGGGUGAUCGGCCACAUUGGGACUGAGACACGGCCCAGACUCCUACGGGAGGCAGCAGUGGGGAAUAUUGCACAAUGGGGGAAACCCUGAUGCAAGCAACGCCGCGUGAGUGAUGACGGCCUUCGGGUUGUAAAGCUCUGUCUUCAGGGACGAUAAUGACGGUACCUGAGGAGGAAGCCACGGCUAACUACGUGCCAGCCGCAGC
rnacentral:rRNA from 1 species